GAGACUCCGAGAAAGUGAAACUAACUUGAUCAACAACAUGGACACCUAAGACCAUCGAACUCUUUAAACAACUGAAUAUUGAGUCGUUCAGAGACCCUUGUGAACACAUCUGAUACUCACAGGCUUUAAGAGGGAAAGAACAAUGGCAGAAUCUUCACUAACAGCAAGAAAAACCAGGAGACAGAGUAUUGAACAUGAAUAUCCAUUAAUGUCAUCCUCCAUGAGUUCACUGUCUGAGGAGAUUCAGUGCUCUGUAUGUCUGGAUGUGUUCACUGAUCCAGUCUCGACUCCAUGUGGACACAACUUCUGCAAGAUCUGUCUGAAUAAGUGCUGGGACAACAGCCAGACCUGCAGCUGUCCAUACUGUAAAGAAACAUUCAAGCAAAGACCUGAUCUCAAGAUUAAUACCACACUCCGAGAGCUCGUAGAUCACUAUAAGAAGAAAAGUCCUGAGAAAACAACUGAAGUUCUGUGUGACAUCUGUGAGGAAAGAAAGCUGAAAGCGCUGAAGUCGUGUCUGGUGUGUCAGAGCUCUUACUGUGAAACUCACCUGGAGCCUCAUUUGAGAGUGACACGUUUGAAGAAACACAAACUGAUGGAUCCUGUGAGUAAUCUGGAGGACUAUAUAUGUCAGAAACACGAGAGACCUCUGGAUCUGUUCUGUAGAGAUGAUCAGACAUGUGUGUGUUCAAUCUGCUCUGUGAAAGACCACAAGAACCACAACACUGUUCCUAUAGAAGAGGAGAGUCAAGAGAAGAAGACUGAACUGAUGAAGACACAGAAAGACGUGCAGCUGAUGAUCCAGAACAGAAUCAAGAAGAUUCAAGACAUCAAACACUCAGCAGAAGUCAGAAAAAGAAACACAGAGAAGGAGAAAGCAGUCCGUGUGGAGCUCUUGACUGAUCUCAUCCGCUCCAUUGAGAGACAUCAGACUGAACUGCUGGAGAUGAUGGAGGAGCAGCAGAAAGCAGCAGAGAAACAGGAGCAAGAGCUGAUUGAAGAGCUGGAGCAGGAGAUCACUGAGCUAAAGAUGAGAAACACUGAGCUGGAGCAGCUCUCACACACUGAAGAUCACCUCCACCUCCUACAGAUUCACUCAUCCCUGUGCAGCUCUAGAAACACCAGGAACUGGCCUGAGAUCAGUAUGAAGACUCAUGAGAGUCUGGAGACUCUGAGGAGAGCUCUGACUCAACUGAAGGACACUAUAGAUGAGAAACUCACACUAACUGUCUCUACAGAGCUGAAGUGGAUGCAGCAGUAUGCAGUGGAUGUGACUCUGGAUCCUGAUACAGCUCAACCUAAUCUCAUUCUGUCUGAUGAUGGAAAACAAGUGAGAGAUGUAGACAUUAGACAGAAACUCCCAGACAAACCAGAGAGAUUUGAUCCAUGUCCCUGUGUCUUGGGAAAGGAGGGAUUCUCCUCAGGGAGAUUUUAUUUUGAGGUGCAGGUGAAGGGAAAGACUGAUUGGGUUUUAGGAGUGGCCAGAGAAUCUAUUAACAGGAAGGGACCGAUCACACUGAGUCCCAGAGAUGGAUACUGGACUGUGAUUCUGAUGAAUGGAGAUGAAUAUAAAGCCUGUGCUAGUCCUCUCAUCUCUCUGUCUCUGAGAGUGAAGCCACAGCGGGUCGGUGUGUUUGUGGAUUAUGAGGAGGGUCUGGUCUCCUUUUAUGAUGUGGAGUCCAGCUCUCAUAUCUACUCUUUCACUGCUCAGUCUUUCACUGAAAAACUCUAUCCAUUAUUUUUUCCCAUCCUUAAACUAUGGAGUUGGAAGCAGCAGGGGAUGUGGAUGGACAGAUGUAACCUUGGGCCAGAGCCUCCUUGAUGUAUUCCUCCAUGGCCUUCUCCUCCAGGAUGGAAAGUGGAUAGAUCCUUCCUUUUGGCACUGGCUCACCCGGAAACAGAUCAAUGGCGUAGUCCCAUGGCCAGUAUGGAGGCAGUUUAGAGUCGCUCUUAGGGCAGAUGAUGUCGCUGAAGGGGGCGUAACACGAGGGAAUAUCCACUGACCGUUUCUCCAUCAGGCUCUCAAUGGAAUUGGCGCAGACAGAAAGCUUUUCAGGUGAAGAGGAUGGAACAGGAAAUCCGGAUAGGCAUUCCAGGAAACAGUUGUCGCCCCACUUCAGGACUUCACCAGAUUUCCAGGAGAUGACUGGGUUGUGCUGCUCCAACCACGGGUGCACAAGGAUCAUGUCAGCGGUGGACUCCUCCAGAACCAGCAGAUGAUUCUUCUUUUUGUGGAGUAUACCGAUUUGCAAUGUAAGUGGGCCGACCCGACGGCGGACCUGUCUUCUGCUUAGCGGUCGUCCAGUUAUGGAGUGGAUUUGAUAAGCAGACGGCGUCACCGUGUUUGUAAGGUUAAGCUGAUGGCACUGGAGAUGAAGUUGCUGGAGAUGAAGAAUCAAGGAGUGCCUAAACUGGAAUAGAAACAUCAGCAGCAGUAAGUUUUACAAUGGUGGUGAGUGGCUUCAUUUGAUUUGCGGAAGGGAUAAUGGCACUCACCAUGGGAUGAGGAGGAUGAAUGGGGCAUGUGGAGAGAAUAUGCCUCGGAGAUCCACAGUACAAACACAAGUUCCGGGCGAAGUUGUGUGGAAGCUGGCCCUGGUGUUCUUCGAGACACGAAUGCAUGCGCGUGGCGAAGCGGAUGGAGAGUUGGAUGAAGCAUUCAAGCCCGAUGGUAUCCUUGUAUGCAGCGAGAUGCAACCGCACUUGUGGAUCCAAACUGAAGUUUCUCACCAAUCAACGAAUCCCACACAGGUUUUCCAAAGACUUCUCUGAAGUGGUCUACAAAACUGGGUUGAGAGAUGAGAAACACCACUUUGGAUCUUUCGGUGGGGUAUAAGUGCGGCUGCAUCUCCAGGACCAGCGAAAAUUGGAAAAGCAAUCCCC